GUUUGACUGGAGCCUCUUAAGACCUGGCUCAUCUCAGAUGUUUAAGCACUUCAAUGCAGGUUUAGAGAGGGUGCGACUCUGGCUGUGAAGUCGAGGCUCGGGCUUACUGCCGAACGGAGGAGCGCUGUCUUUCGCCCGCUUGCAUAACCCAAUCAAAAGACCUGGAUUCUAUUUGUUUUGUUUCAAGGGAGCAUGACAAAGGCCCCAAGGUCUUCUUCAAGAUGGUUCUGAAGCGGAGAGAAAGAAAGGGGGACCGAGCUUUCAAGUGUCUGUCCUUGGGAGGACCUUUACUGUCUCGCCAGAUUGAAAGAAAGGAUCAUACUUAAAAGGGGAAGAACUCAUUUCAGGUUUUCAUUCGGCCUCCUCUGGUUUUUAGUCUAGCCCCCAUCCCCCCCCAAAAAAGCUUCCUUCACAUGCUCAGAUGGACAAGAAGUCUGUGGAAGUCAAUCCUGGGAUGAGGACCAGAUUCCCAAAUUAUUGCUGAUCGAUUGCGUAGCACGGGGACGAGCCGAAUCACCCAGGGCGGCGUCUGCUCCAGCGUCGCGUUAAUAGCGUUGGGCGGCUCGUGAUUUAUUCAGCGGCUGGCGUUUGAAUCGGUGUGCUCAGGUUAAGUUCACCUGGCAGUCCAGUGCGCUCAGCGCUCGGCACGGAGCCCGCCAAUGGAGCACGCUCGCGCACCCAUUAGCGUGGAUGAUGAAGUUAUAAUGCCUCGGACUUGGGAAAGGAAAUUUACGACGCCGCUUUCAUUAAUUACUGCCGCACGGGCACGGCUGCUGGCCGUCCCUCCAGCAGGCCGCACAGGAAGCAUAGCCUUGCCUGCUGGGAUAUUGAGUUUUAUAGCCGCGCGAACGCUAAGGAAAACUAACCGUAAAUUUGACUCCUCUUUAAGAGUCACCGCUCAGAACGCUAUCACGCUGUAGCCGUUUUAAUCUGGAUCGUUUAUCGUAAAUAUCUCGCCUUGAUUACGCACCCCUUUUAAGUCUUUUUUUUUUUUGGCUUGUUUUGGUUUUUUUGUGCAGUUUUGUUAUUGCAGGUGGGUAAAUGCUAAUUUUGCUUUGUUCUAGGUGGUUAUCGGAUACCGCCGUGUGUUUGUCCCUUUCCUCUUCCUGUAUUCACAGGACUUACUGUCGUGGCACCUAAACCUUUGUGCAGGGUAUCUUUCUGUUAUUUCCGAGAAAGCCCCCCCCCCACCCUCCCCCCUCAUACCCCCACACCCCCCCUCCCCCCACCCCUCCCGCUGAAAGUGCCCCGAGU